UAGCGGCGGACGGGUGAGUAACGCGUGAGCAACCUGUCCCUUACAGGGGAUAACACAGCGAAAGUUGUACUAAUACCGCAUGAGACCACGGUGAGACAUCUCACAGGGGUCAAAGGAGCAAUCCGGUAAGGGGUGGGCUCGCGUCCGAUUAGAUAGUUGGUGAGGUAACGGCCCACCAAGUCAACGAUCGGUAGCCGACCUGAGAGGGUGAUCGGCCACAUUGGGACUGAGACACGGCCCAAACUCCGUACGGGAGGCAGCAGUGGGGAAUAUUGGGCAAAAUGGGGGGAACCCUGACCCAGCAACGCCGCGUGAGGGAAGAAGGUUUUCGGAUCGUAAACCUCUGUCCUUGGUGAAGAGGAAGAGACGGUAGCCAAGGAGGAAGCCCCGGCUAACUACGUGCCAGCCGCGGC
rnacentral:rRNA from 1 species